CCAUUGGAGGGCAAGUCUGGUGCCAGCAGCCGCGGUAAUUCCAGCUCCAAUAGCGUAUAUUAACGUUGUUGCAGUUAAAAAGCUCGUAGUUGAAGUGUGGGUGAUCGCUAUUGUGAGACUUCGGUCUCUCGACAGUAAGUCACCCCCUUCCAGUAUCCAGUAGUGGGUAUUCACUUACUUACUAUUGUGUGUUGGUCCUUUACUGUGAGAAAAUUAGAGUGUUCAAAGCAGGCGUUUGCUUGAAUAGAUUAGCAUGGAAUAAUAAUUGAAGGCUUUCGUGUUCGAUUUGAUUGGUUUGUUCAUGGAAGCAAGGUUAAAAGGAACAGUUGGGGGUAUUCAUAUUCACUAGUUAGAGGUGAAAUUCUCGGAUUUAUGGAAGAU
rnacentral:rRNA from 1 species